rnacentral:lncRNA from 1 species
GGGGGGAGGGUCAAACCUUCUUGAAAACAAUAUUGCUAUUCAACUAUUAAGCUAGUUAGCUACUACUCAUUGCUUCUAAUAUAAACCGUUUAAAUGAAGGUGGCUAAGCAACAAGGGAGAACCUUUUUUCUUUCUUUGCGAUAAAACUUUCAAAAGUUAGAUUUUUCUCUCUCAAUAAUACUUAUGUAUUUAAAUUAAAUGAUAAC